rnacentral:ncRNA from 1 species
GCUGUCUAUCCAAGAAAGUCUCUUAGAGAUGCCGAAGGGGCAAGCCUUUAAAUAGGUGAAACUCUCAGGUUUGGUACAGGGCAUGGGGAGAAAUU